rnacentral:rRNA from 1 species
GAUGAACGCUAGCGGCAGGCUUAAUACAUGCAAGUCGAACGGUAACAGGUCUUCGGACGCUGACGAGUGGCGCACGGGUGAGGAACACGUACACAAUCUACCUUAUACUGGAGAAUAGCCCCGGGAAACUGGGAUUAAUACUCCAUAGUCUUUAAUGAUCACAUGAGAAAUAAAGUAAAGCUUCGGCGGUAUAAGAUGAGUGUGCGUCCUAUUAGAUUGUUGGUGAGGUAACGGCUCACCAAGUCGACGAUGGGUAGCUGGCGUGAGAGCGCGACCAGCCACACUGGCACUGAGACACGGGCCAGACUCCUACGGGAGGCAGCAGUAGGGAAUAUUGGUCAAUGGACGAAAGUCUGAACCAGCCAUGCCGCGUGGAGGAUGACUGCCCUCUGGGUUGUAAACUCCUUUUAUAUGGGAAGAAACCUCUGGAUUCACUCCAGAGCUGACGGUAUCAUAUGAAUAAGCACCGGCUAACUCCG